rnacentral:rRNA from 1 species
AGCGGCAGGCCUAAUACAUGCAAGUCGAACGGAUAUAUGUUUUUCGGAAUAUAUAUUAGUGGCGCACGGGUGAGUAACACGUACAUAACUUGCCCUCAAGCGGGGGAUAGCCUUGGGAAACUGAGAGUAAUACCCCAUAGAAUUAUUGGACGGCAUCGUUUGAUAAUUAAAACUACGGUGCUUGGGGUUAGAUGUGCGUCUGAUUAGCUAGUUGGUGAGGUAACUGCUCACCAAGGCGACGAUCAGUAGGGGGCGUGAGAGCGUGGCCCCCCACACGGGUACUGAGACACGGACCCGACUCCUACGGGAGGCAGCAGUAAGGAAUAUUGGUCAAUGGAGGGAACUCUGAACCAGCCAUGCCGCGUGAAGGAUGACGGCCCUCUGGGUUGUAAACUUCUUUUGGAUGGGGCGAAAAAACGGGAUUUAUCCUGGACUGACGGUACCAUCAGAAUAAGCACCGGCUAACUCCGUG